UAAAAUGACCACUAGCAGUGUUCUUUUAUUUUGAUGAUCCUGUUUCCUACUUCGAUUUUAUGUGACUUUUAUUUUGACGUCAUACUAUCUGCUCACGUGAUUAAUCGCUCGCGCUCACAUUUGUUCAAUAGAAGACACGAGAAGCUAGCUAGCAACUAAAUAAGUUAAGCUAAUGGCGGCGGACUUCCCUGGAUCACCACUUUAUAGCAGCCUUCGAUAUGCGGAGCGAGUUGUCACGGUGCUGGUGCUAUGCACACUCAUCUGAAUGAAAGUACACCCGUCUGGAAACACUCCCAAGCCUGUUUCUUCCAAGUUGAAGGGACGCUAAAGUGAUCUAGAUCCUUUUUAUAGCUGCUAUUUAUUUUCUCUGCCUUGGAGAUCCAGUCUCACUAACAAAGACUACAAAUCCCAUGAAACCCUGCAACUGUGUCCUGUGUUCUGCCGGGUCGUGACAGGCUUCCUCAAAUUCGUUUUUAUCAGAAAAAUUCCAGUUGUCAUUAUUUACCCAUGAAA